AGGAAUCCACUCCUCCAAUACAAAGACUUGCAGGUGAGAGAGCUUAGGUAACAACCCACUAGGAAACUCCUUUUCACCACAUCCAUUCAUUCUAAGAUGCCUCAGGUUGCAUAGACAUUCCAUGCCUUGAGGAAUCUUUUCAAGUGCCCAAGUACCAGAGAGAUCUAACCUCUUCAGUGCCCUGAGCUUUUCUAAUGACGGUACAUGCCUUAACAUCUUACAAUCAAUGAGCAGUAAUGCAGUGAGACUCACCAAUUCAGAGACAGAAUCAGGCAGUUUUGUGAUAUUUGUAUAAGACAGAUCAAGAACCUUGAGCCCA